UCAUAUUUUUCGAUAUUUUUUAUAUUCGUGUGAUCGUUCUAUUCACCAUGAAACGGAUUUUAGUUUGAUUUUUGGACAGUUGGCACUGCGUGCGUACGAUCGCUCGAUGACUCUUAAUGUUUUGUCCAUUUCUUCUAUCGCGUGUUUCCUCUGAUUGAUGGGACAUUCGACGCCGACUCGCUUUCAAUCUUACCCUCCACCUGAUUGAUUCCUUUUGCAACUUUUUUUAGCUCGCGUUGCACGUGUGAAAAGGAUUUUUAAUAUUUCUCAGACAUUUUUGAGGUGUUCGAGCAGUGAACGAUUAUUUGUAAAUACAUUUGUUUCAUCCAAACUUCAAAAUUCGAAAAAUUGUACGAAAAUCGCGUUAUCUUAUUCUCGAAAAAAAUUAGACGAAUUUAUGGUUUCAUAAAAUUGGAUUGAAUUCAUAACUUCAAUUAAUGUCAAUCGAGUAAUAGAUUGAAAUUCAAUGCGAUGCGUCCACGUCGCUUUUGAACGAGGAUUUCAGUAGUCACAGCUCAACUCUGGUCAGACACGCUGAUUACACUUUAACUUUUUUGAAUUCUCAUCACUUUCGACUCUUUGGCUAAUGUCUUACUACUAAUUUAUCUAUUUUUUAUUAUUAUUGUUUUUUUAAUCGUUAAAAAUUAUUAUUUUUGGUAAAAAUAUUGAAAUAGAAUAAUUUCAAUUAUAAACGUUUGAAAUUUUCACUUUUCGCAACGGCCUUCCGACACUUUGUCUUAAAACUAAUUUUUCUAUUUUCUAUUAUUUUUUUUUAAUCAUUGAAAAUUAUUAUUUUUGGUAAAAAUAUUAAAAUUCGAUGAAUUUCAAUUAUAAACGUUUAAAAUUUUCAGUUUUCGCAGCGGUCUUGUAAGCAUGGCAACGAUACAUUGACUGAAAUAUUUCUUGUGUUAUAAGUGCGAAGACGUGACUCACAAAUUAACUCGAAUCACGUAAAUCACACGCACCCGACAAAUGAAACUAAUUUAUUAUAAAAUCAUAUUUUCUCAAUUGCAAAAAGUUGUGUUUAAUUCCACAUAUCAAUGAUCACCACGAUAAAUCAGACGUUUUGUUCCGUUUAACAAGCAAUAAUCUAAUUGAAAAUUCCAUUCGAUCACAAUAAUUGACAUCAUUCAGUUAGCUGUUGAAAAAUGACAUGAAAUUCCCAAACUGGCUGUGUGAAAACAAAGCAAAUUACACUCGUACAUCAAAAUUAAAACCAUGAAUAUAAAUUUCAGUCACUCAUGUGGAAUUUAAUAUACACGACAUUGGAUAUUAAAAUAAAUUUCAAGAAUUUCGUCGACAUGCAUUGAAGUAAACCGUACGUUUGGUUGACAACCAAUAAAUAUGAAUUCGGAUUCAUCAAUCGCGAACAGUGGACAAAUGAAUACGAUUUGAGUUUAAAUAUCCUGUGCAGUUAAUUAAAAAAUUCGUUUCCCAUGAAUCUCGGACACAAGAUUUUUUAACUUGAUGUGUUCUGUCAAAAAUACGAAGCAAAAGUUUGAGUACGAAUUCAUACGAGCUUGCAUUCUUGAAAAAAAUUCUUUUGUAAAAUUCUAUUUGUCAAUAUAUUUGUAUGUUUGUUUCAAAAUAUGUUUUUUUUUUUCAUAUCGAAGGUGUUCAAAAAUUUCGGUAGAACAACUGUUUUGAAUGGAUACAACCAUUCGAAAAAUGAUUAAUUUGUUAACGUGUGUUGUCAGGAAAUACUAAUGCAAUUAUUCUUUUUUCUCCUGUGUCAAAUAACGGGGGCAGAGAGCACUUUUAUCAAGGGGGAAUAUCAAUGUGGAAAAAAAGAGUUUCGGCGAAAAAGAGCUUCUGUAUGGUCCAGGGGCAGCCGACUAAUCGAUGCUUGCUGUGGCACUUGUGCUGUCAACCGUCGGAUUUGGAUUUGUUUGGGGAGUCUUUUUUUGAGACGCCAUUUCGAGACCGUUCCUCUGCUUAAUAAAAUGUUCUAAAAAUAAAAAAUUUUCUUGUAUGCUUCAUUACUUCAAUAAUUAAUAUACAAAAUUUCAAAUAA